ACACAAUAACUCACAGGAAUAAAAAUUUUAAUUAUUGAUAGACUGCUGAGUACAUACACACAGUACACUGAAUACGAACACCGAGACACUGCUGAAUAUAUACACACACAUACACACACACAGAUUUCUGAAUGCAUACAGACUCCUGAAUGCACACAGGCGUUGCUAAAUGCACACAGGCUGAUUUAUACACGUACACACAGCCUGCUGAGUCCAUACACACAUACAGACUGCUGAGUCCAUACACACACACACACACACACACAGACUGCUGAGUCCACACACACAAAUACACACACACACAGACUGCUGAGUCCAUAUACACACACACAAACACACAGACUGCUGAGUCCAUACACACACACAGAGACUGCUGAGCCCAUACAUUCACACAGACACACAGACUGCU